rnacentral:misc_RNA from 1 species
AAAUUCUUUUGCAGAUAUAAUUGCAAUUGAAGCUGUACCACUUGAUCGCAUCGACCCCAAUUUGGUUCAAAAGGGCCUCACUGAUUUCACUCAGAAGCUAAACACUGCAUCAACCGAUGUAGAAAAAGCUGAAGCCCAGAUUGGAAUUGAUGUACACAGCGCCCUUAAUGCUGCUCUCACUGGUUAAGCAAACUGCAACCUUCUUCGUCCUUGGUGAAUUCUAUUUUCCUUUGUUUCCUACUGAUAAACUUCUACACCCUUUUUCGCGUAAGCUGAUAAUGAUGAUGAUUUCUAUUUUAAGUCCUGCAUUGCUUGAAUAAAUGCUUCGGACAAGGUUUUCCUUUACAUAUCUUAUUUGCUGCUAUGUAAGCUGUACGCUAAACUGCAGUAAUGAGAAUAGAUUGU